UGGUGCCAGUGGCGGAGCUGGGGGGGGCGCGGUUGCACGGCCCUGGAGGAGGUGGGACAAAGGCCAGAACGCGAAGCCGGGCCGGGGCGCCUUCCCGGGACUCCAGACGGACCCCACCAGAAGUGCGAGGGGGAAGCAGUCCCAUGAGCAACUCGUUGGAGAGGCCCAAGUGGAGAGGAAUGGAAGCCCCUGGCCGGCAGCCACAUGAGUGAGUUUGGAAGCAGGUCCUCCAGCCCUCACCAAGCCUUCAGAUGAGACUGCAGCCCUGGUUGACACCAUGACUGCAACCAAACGACAGACUCUGAGCAGGACCACCCUGAGGAAUUCCUGACUCUCUGAAACUGUAUUGUUUGUGCUCCUGAAGUGCGGAGGAACCGGUAAGCACUCAGUCUGAAAGGCUGCACAGUCGCCGAUCCUCCUUGGUGUGGAAGCGCCAUCUUUGUAGGUGCAAUCCUGCCAGCGCAUCUGAGGGAAGUGCAGCCCGCAUUCUGCAGGGAGACACAGAGAGAAGGUGUGGCCACACGUUCCUUCCUGCUGACCUUGGGGCACCUGCACCAAAUACCUAUGAGCUGUGAAGGUCCAGGCCAACCGUGCAGAGAGAUGACCCUGCUGAUUGUGGAGGAGGCAGAGGGCGUGGCUCAUCUUGGCUGGGAGGAGGCUUCCCAAAAGAUUGUGACAUCUAGGCUAGAUGGGCCACUAGAAGCCCUGUCCCAAGUGGUCACCUGCUAAGCAUUGGUCUGAGGAACAGUGGUCACUAGGUGGCUUUGUGUCAUUUAAGGUCCACUCAAGCUCCAGCUCUGGCCUAUUCUCAGCCCCCUGAGACCUACAGAAGGUGGUUUGAAUGUAGGUCCAGAUGACACGUUGAGGACCUCUGGUGAGGGGAGAGAACAGGGUCAAGGACGGACCAUGCAGGAAGCGCUUCAUCUGGGCAUGGUCAGAGAGGAAGAAGGAGAUCCCGGGAGCAGGCGGAGCCUGGGGACACCGACACAUGGGUAGGAUGAGGGGUGAUAAGGGCCACCAAAUCUCAUGACAGGAAUAAAGAAAGACUACAAGAGACCAUGAAAAGGUUUUUUCCCCCCUCAUGAUGUAUUAUAAUAAGGACUAGCCAGUAUUUAAACAUGAUCGAGGAGAUGAAAAAUUCUGAUAUUGUGAAUUGAACAUCAAACUAAAAUAUGUGUGCCUUUAAGUCUGAAGUUUAUUCAGGAAAAAACCAAGUUUGCCCAAGAACAUAAAGGAUUCCUCAAACCUUCAUUUGUUGUUUGUAAAGGCUGUUUUCAUUGACUGAAAGAUUGUGCCAGCCUUCCUGUGCGCCUACUGAUGCAGAAGCAGCCAUAAGCUUUACGAAAGGAAGAGCCACUCCCCUUAAAGGGGCAUUUCUGACCUCGAUAAGAUUUGUGUAGGACACAGGACCUUCAGAGUGUUGCUUCAGGUCAGAUGUUAGGAUUUCAAGGAC